rnacentral:tRNA from 1 species
GGGUAUAGCUCAGUGGUAGAGCAUAUAUUUAGCAUGCAUGAGGUCCUGGGAUCAAUCCCUAGUAGGUCCA